rnacentral:rRNA from 1 species
AAUGACUCUCGGCAACGGAUAUCUCGGCUCUCGCAUCGAUGAAGAACGUAGCGAAAUGCGAUACUUGGUGUGAAUUGCAGAAUCCCGUGAACCAUCGAGUCUUUGAACGCAAGUUGCGCCCGAARSCMAUWGGCCUWGGGCAAGUCUGGCUGGGUGUCACACAAAG